CUACGGGGGGCAGCAGUGGGGAAUAUUGCGCAAUGGGGGAAACCCUGACGCAGUGACGCCGUGUGAGUGAUGAAGGUUUUCGGAUCGUAAAGCUCUGUCAGACGGGAAGAAUAAGAACAGUAAAAAUAUUGCUGUUUGAUGACGGUACCGUCAGAGGAAGCACCGGCUAACUCCGUGCCAGCAGCCGCGGUAAUACGGAGGGUGCAAACGUUGUUCGGAAUUACUGGGCGUAAAGCGCAUGUAGGCGGCUAUGUAGGUCAGAUGUGAAAUCCCUUGGCUCAACCAAGGAAGUGCAUCUGAAACCCCAUAUCUUGAGUACGAGAGAGGGAAGUGGAAUUCCCAGUGUAGAGGUGAAAUUCAUAGAUAUUGGGAAGAACACCGGUGGCGAAGGCGGCUUUCUGGCUCGUAACUGACGCUGAGAUGCGAAAGCGUGGGGAGCAAACAGGAUUAGAUACCCGAGUAGUC
rnacentral:rRNA from 1 species